GCCCAGCUAGCUCAGUCAGUAGAGCAUGGGACUCUUAAUCCCUGGGUCGUGGGAUUGGGCAGUGCAAAAAUUGCAUUGUUAGGUU
rnacentral:tRNA from 1 species